rnacentral:lncRNA from 1 species
AUUAAGCAGUUGUAUCACACAAUAAAACUUAUCAUUCAUGAUGACACGAGGUCCCAUAAUAAAGUGCACAGGUAAAUUAAAUAAAAACUUGAUGUAAAUCGUGUUUUUAUGAUCCUAGCUAAAAAUGUAAUUAUAAGUAUUGAAUGCUUCUUUUUGUAACUUCAUAGGGUUGUAAAAGCGUUGACCGUGCGCACAUUUUUAGAAUGAAGCGC